AGAGAACUGAGGGUAGAAUUAAAACCAAAAAAAAA
rnacentral:sRNA from 1 species